CCCCAGGUGCCCCGGGAAAACUUGGGGGAGAAUGGGCAUCCCACCCCAGCACUUUCUAGGAAGAAGGGCAGCAUUUUGAAGGGCUGGAAGUAGAGGAAGGAGGUUGCGGGUAGAAGACUCCAUACUUUCUGUGACGCCUAUUCCUUAGUCAGAGGCAUGGCUUGCCUGGGCCUCUGGGUGCAGCUGCACAGAUUCAAGCAGCCUGAAGGAAAGGUGACUGACAGCUAAUGAUCUGAAAAGAACUUGUCUCAACUCAACGUCAUUCCUGGCAUUAUCGAACAAAGCAAUAAACCUCACAGAAUGGAAGCUACAGUGUCCAGGGCCAGCUCUGCUAAGGUAACCAAAGACAGAGAAGGAGGCAAAAGUGACAGAAGAAACUCAUGGGAAACCAACAGAAAUAUAAUGGCUUUGGCAGAAAUGCAAUUAUCAAUUGGGAGCUUGUGAUGAAUGUUUUCUCAGUAUCCUAUGCUGAAAACAGGUAGAUACUAAUAUCGAUCUUCAAGGGAGGGCUGUUGAGUAUUGAAUAAGACAAAAACAUGGAAGCAAUCAGCACCAUGCUGGAGAGCCUUUAUAUAACCAAAGAUAUUUUUGGACCAUGAAUUCAGAAAUUCUCGGAGCCACCCAUCAGUGCCUGAGCUUCAGUGAGUCCAUAUCCCAUGUCACCCACGGCAAAGGAGACUCUAAGACUUCUGAAGAGUUUCUUGCUUCUUUCCUGUGGGGCAGUGACUCCACUUCCCAGCAGUAA
rnacentral:lncRNA from 1 species